rnacentral:rRNA from 1 species
UACGUAGGGUGCAAGCGUUAUCCGGAAUUAUUGGGCGUAAAGAGCUCGUAGGCGGUUUGUCGCGUCUGCUGUGAAAACUGGGGGCUCAACCCCCAGCCUGCAGUGGGUACGGGCAGACUAGAGUGCGGUAGGGGAGAUUGGAAUUCCUGGUGUAGCGGUGAAAUGCGCAGAUAUCAGGAGGAACACCGGUGGCGAAGGCGGGUCUCUGGGCCGAAACUGACGCUGAGGAGCGAAAGCAUGGGGAGCAAACAGG